CAUGAUUUUAUACUAUAAUACAAAUGUUUUUAUACAAUUUAUAUUUAAAUCAUGAUAUAAGAAUAUUAUUUGUGAUCAUAAUAUCAAAGUGAACCGCGAUUGUUAAGAUAUUUUGAUAAUAAAGAAAACUAAAUCAUAACAUGUUUACUGUAGUUGGUUUGUUUAUUAGUCAUUUUGUGAGGAUGGCUAAGGAAUUAUUUCUAAAGUUAUAACAAGCACAUUCUUGAGUUUUAUCUUUAUUUUUUAAUCUUAGUGCUUCUACUAUGAUAAGAAACUUUAUGCAAACAACAACAACAAAUAAAAGCAAUAGGAGUAACAUUUAUUUUAUAAUAACAGUAAUAAUAAUGAAAAUAAUAACAAUAAAAAUACCUAUAAUAUCAUAAAUAAUAAAAUCAUAAUAUCAUUAUAUUAUCCAGGUUUAUACAAUUGUAAUUGCUAUCUCUAAAGCUAUGGUGAUGGUUUAUAUUUUAGCCAAUUUAAAAAUCAACCUGUUAUACACAGGGUAUAUACAAAUGAAAAUACCAUAUUGAAUUCUGGUGUAUUUUUGAAGAACAUUUUUUUUCAAAAAGUAUUAAAGUUUUUGUGUGCAAGAAAAGAAAACUAAAGAUUUUCAAAUUAAAGAAAAAUAUGCAUCAUGUUUUCGAUAAUAUUUUUGUGUAUCUUUUUACGUAACAUGGUUUGAUCAAUUUUUACAAUGUUCCCCAUCUAAAUUGGCAGGAAAAAAGUUUAUAAAAAGUAUAAAGUUUUAUAGCAAGUUAACAAAUCUACUUUUAACGAAGCUUAAAAUAAAAAGUUUGCAAAAAAGUGUAUGUAUAGAUUUAUGUUCUGUUGUUGUUCAUUUACUAUAAACAAGUAUAUGAAUUUGGAAAUGGAAAUUUAGUUCAAAUAGAAAUUUAGUUCAACGCCAAUAGCAAUUGUGAUAAAGUAAUUUAAGAUCAUUUAAAGUUCAGUCAAGCAAGCACCUGAAAAUGGUCAACUUUUUGUUUAAUAUAGAUUGCUGUUCCAAAUACAAAUUGCAGAUAUGAUCCAAUACUUUAUGUCAAGCAAGGUUCAAAUUUUAAACCAAACAAACUUACUAUCUGUUGAUCUUCUACUUUGUUUUGAAGUUAUGAGUUCAGAUAGAUAUAUGUUUUGUUCAAAGCAGAUCAGCCAACCAUAUAAAGGACAGAUAAAACUGACCCUCAUCUCAGGCUUAAGGGUCAAUUAAUGCAAUUUUUCAAAAGCUUCUUUUGAAGUAUGCAACCCUGAUGUCUUGAUGGGCACAAUCACAUGGAAGUAAUGUAAUAUUAAAUUAAAUAUUAAAGCAUAAAAUUUGCA